rnacentral:rRNA from 1 species
UAUAUAUUGUUUUCAGGUAUAUUAUAACAUUUGGAUUAAAAGUUAAAACAUUUGCAUAAUCAGUAAAGGUGAUUAAAAUUUAUUUUAUACUCGUAUCAAGUACCGAAAGGGAAAAAACGCACUUACAAUAAAGAAAAAAUUGAGUUUUGUACCUUUUGCAUCAUGGUUUAGCUAGAUUUAGAUUUCUUAAAAAAUUUCUCGAAACUUAGUGAGCUAUCUUUUGCUUAAAGUUUUAGCUUAAUAAAGUGGUUGUGGCAAAAACCUUUUUAAAACUAAAGAUAGAAAUGAGAUUUUUUCCGUACUAAGUGAUAGCUAGUUCUUCUCUUAAGGUAUAUAAGUACUGUAAGUUAAUCCUAUAUAGUGUUUUAUGACAUUACGAUAGGAAUUUUAACUAAAUUAAGCUCUAGAGGAUAAGCUCUAGAGUUAUAGAAUAAAAUUACAUAAAUGCAUAUAUAAAUUUAAGCUCGAAAAUAGCUAUAAUUGAGAUUUUGUUAUAAUUUCAUUAAUAAUUUGUAUCAUAUAAUAGCUUUGUUAUGUCCUUGGAGAAGUAAAACCUAAGAAUUGUAUUAUUUAGGCUAAUUUUAUGCUAAAAUGAGUAUUACAUUAUUUAUAAAUUUUCUUAAAGCAAGAACAAUUAAACUUAAAUAUUUAUUUCGAAAUUAAAUUGUAAAAAGGAACUCGGCAAAAUAACAUUCUGCCUGUUUAUCAAAAUACAAGGCCCCCUGUAUUUUAUUAAAUAGGGAGUCGGACCUGCCCGGUGAAAUUUUUUAACGGCCGCGGUACUCUGACCGUGCAAAGGUAGCAUAAUCAUUUGCCUUAUAACUGAAGGCUAGUAUGAAUGGUUUGACAAGAAUGUAACUGUCUCUUUACAAUUAGCUAGAAUUUUAUUUUUAGGUGAAGAAGCCUAUAUGCAAUUGAAAGACAAGAAGACCCUAUCGAGCUUAAAAAGAAUUGAUAAAUCCUAUUUUUAAUAAAACAUUAAUAUUAUUAUUACAAAUUUUAGUUGGGGCGACUGAGGAACAAAUAAAGCUUCCUUUAUGUACAAGUUAGACUUACAAGUUUUGAUCCAAAAAUUUUGAUUAAAGAAAUUAGUUACCGUAGGGAUAACAGCAUUAUCUUCUUUGAGAGUUCAUAUCGAAAAGAGGGUUUGUGACCUCGAUGUUGGACCAGAAUAUCCUAAAGAUGCAGCCGUCUUUAAGGGUUGGUCUGUUCGACCAUUAAAAUUCUACGUGAUCUGAGUUCAGACCGGCGUGAGCCAGGUCAGUUUCUAUCUUCA